rnacentral:rRNA from 1 species
GAUGAACGCUGGCGGCGUGCCUAAUACAUGCAAGUCGAGCGAACGGACGAGAAGCUUGCUUUUCUGACGUUAGCGGCGGACGGGUGAGUAACACGUGGAUAACCUACCUAUAAGACUGGGAUAACUUCGGGAAACCGGAGCUAAUACCGGAUAAUAUUUUGAACCGCAUGGUUCAAAAGUGAAAGACGGUCUUGCUGUCACUUAUAGAUGGAUCCGCGCUGCAUUAGCUAGUUGGUAAGGUAACGGCUUACCAAGGCAACGAUGCAUAGCCGACCUGAGAGGGGGAUCGGCCACACUGGAACUGAGACACGGUCCAGAGUCCUACGGGAGGCAGCAGUAGGGAAUCUUCCGCAAUGGGCGAAAGCCUGACGGAGCAACGCCGCGUGAGUGAUGAAGGUCUUCGGAUCGUAAAACUCUGUUAUUAGGGAAGAACAUAUGUGUAAGUAACUGUGGACAUCGUGACGGUACCUAAUCAGAAAGCAACGGCUAACUACGUG